CUAUAUGUCUUUCCAAAUCCCUCUCUCUUCAUCACCUCCUCCUAUCCUUUCUUUUUUACUGCUCCAACCGGCUCUUCUCUUCUCGCUUCUCCUCCCUCGUCUGCCGGCAUUCUCCCUUGGUUGAUCUCCGUCCUUCCUCCUCCAAGAUUCGACAGGAAGGUGGGAUGCGAUCAUCGAGGUGACGACCACCUUGGACCCAUCUUCAACGAUGGGCACGGCGUUGGCAUUGUAGCUGGGCCUCCUAGCAGUGUGCAUCGUCCUACCUCAAGAUCAUAACAAUGGCAUCUAGGUUGUUGUGGGCUUCGAGGGUCGCCUCCUACCUCAAGAUCUCCACCUGCCCUAGCGCCUUCUCCAUAGUUAUUAAAGAUUUGAAAUAUGCUAACACACAUGAGUGGGUUAAAGUUGAUGGCUCUACUGCAACAAUAGGAAUAACUGACCAUGCUCAGGAUCAUUUAGGUGAUGUUGUGUAUAUUGCAUUACUAGAAGUUGGUUCCUACGUGAAGCAGGGCAAAAAUUUUGGUGCAGUUGAGAGUGUCAAGGUUAAUGCAAGUCCAUUCGAGGAUGGUUGGAUCGUAAAGGUCAAAUCGAGCAACGAUGGAGAAGUGAAUUCAUUAAUGGAUUCCGAACAAUACUCAAAGUUCUACGAGGAAGAGGAUGCAAAGCAUUGAGGAUAUUCAUUUUCAAAAUCACUUCAUUGCCUCUGGUUAGAUGUCUCUCAAGAAUUGGAAGGUUGGUAUUGAAUGGAGGUACCCAACUGAAGAUGGAUAGGUGGAUGUUUCAACUGAAGAUGGAUUGGUUUCACAUGUCAAUUAUCUUCAAAUCUAGAUAAUGUUGGGUUAACGUUUGUGUUAAUCAAUGUAUCUAUCAUUUUGGGAACUAUCUUCGAAUCUGGACAUAUUAAUUUUCUUCAAAUCUUGUUUGAAUCAUGUUGAUAAUAUCAUCAUUUUGGGAAUUAUGUACUUGGUUUUUUAUGUACAUUGUGUAUCUAUCUCUAUUUAUAUA